CGGGGUGGAGUAAUGUCUGGGAAACUGCCUGAUGGAGGGGGGUAACUACUGGAAACGGUAGCUAAUACCGCAUAACGUCGCAAGACCAAAGUGGGGGACCGUUCGGGCCUCAUGCCAUCGGAUGUGCCCAGAUGGGAUUAGCUAGUAGGUGGGGUAACGGCUCACCUAGGCGACGAUCCCUAGCUGGUCUGAGAGGAUGACCAGCCACACUGGAACUGAGACACGGUCCAG
rnacentral:rRNA from 1 species